AGUGAACGCUGGCGGCGUGCCUAAUACAUGCAAGUCGAACGCGAAAGUCCUUCGGGAUGAGUAAAGUGGCGCACGGGUGAGUAAUGCAUGAGAACAUGCCCUUAGAUGGGGAAUAACGUUUGGAAACGAACGCUAAUACCGCAUAAUCUCGAGAGAGUAAAGGUGGCGCCGCAAGGGCUACCGUCUAAGGAUUGGCUCAUGUCCCAUUAGCUAGUUGGCGGGGUAAUGGCCCACCAAGGCAACGAUGGGUAUGUGGUCUGAGAGGAUGAUCACACACACUGGAACUGAGACACGGUCCAGACUCCUACGGGAGGCAGCAGUAGGGAAUAUUGCACAAUGGGGGAAACCCUGAUGCAGCAACGCCGCGUGAGUGAAGAAGGCCCUUGGGUCGUAAAGCUCUUUAGCGAGGGAAGAGGGUGGUUACGGUGAAUAAUCGUGAUUGCUGACGGUACCUCGAGAAUAAGCACCGGCUAAUUUCGUGCCAGCCGCCGCCGUAC
rnacentral:rRNA from 1 species